rnacentral:rRNA from 1 species
AGUGAACGCUGGCGGUAGGCCUAACACAUGCAAGUCGAACGGCAGCACAGUAAGAGCUUGCUCUUACGGGUGGCGAGUGGCGGACGGGCGAGGAAUACAUCGGAAUCUACUUUUUCGUGGGGGAUAACGUAGGGAAACUUACGCUAAUACCGCAUACGACCUACGGGUGAAAGCAGGGGAUCUUCGGACCUUGCGCGAUUGAAUGAGCCGAUGUCGGAUUAGCUAGUUGGCGGGGUAAAGGCCCACCAAGGCGACGAUCCGUAGCUGGUCUGAGAGGAUGAUCAGCCACACUGGACCUGAGACACGGUCCAGACUCCUACGGGAGGCAGCAGUGGGGAAUUUUGGACAAUGGGCGCAAGCCUGAUCCAGCCAUACCGCGUGGGUGAAGAAGGCCUUCGGGUUGUAAAGCCCUUUUGUUGGGAAAGAAAAGCAGCAGGUUAAUACCCCGCUGUUCUGACGGUACCCAAAGAAUAAGCACCGGCUAACUUCGU